GAUGAACGCUGGCGGCGUGCCUAACACAUGCAAGUCGAGCGGUAUAUACUGGAACGAAACUUCGGUCUAGAGAAGGUAUAGAGAGCGGCGGACGGGUGAGUAACGCGUAGGCAACCUGCCCCAUACAGAGGGAUAGCCUCGGGAAACCGGGAUUAAAACCUCAUAACACGAGAGUUUCACAUGUUACUUUCGUCAAAGAUUUAUCGGUAUGGGAUGGGCCUGCGUCUGAUUAGCUAGUUGGUGAGGUAACGGCUCACCAAGGCAACGAUCAGUAGCCGACCUGAGAGGGUAAUCGGCCACAUUGGAACUGAGACACGGUCCAAACUCCUACGGGAGGCAGCAGUGGGGAAUAUUGCACAAUGGGCGAAAGCCUGAUGCAGCAACGCCGCGUGAGCGAUGAAGGCCUUUGGGUCGUAAAGCUCUGUCCUUGGGGAAGAAAAAAAUGACGGUACCCUUGGAGGAAGCCCCGGCUAACUACGUG
rnacentral:rRNA from 1 species